rnacentral:rRNA from 1 species
UUUACUCCCUACGGGAGGCAGCAGUGGGGAAUAUUGCACAAUGGGCGCAAGCCUGAUGCAGCGACGCCGCGUGAGGGAUGACGGCCUUCGGGUUGUAAACCUCUUUCAGUAGGGAAGAAGCGAAAGUGACGGUACCUGCAGAAGAAGCGCCGGCUAACUACGUGCCAGCAGCCGCGGUAAUACGUAGGGCGCAAGCGUUAUCCGGAAUUAUUGGGCGUAAAGAGCUUGUAGGCGGUUUGUCGCGUCUGCCGUGAAAGUCCGGGGCUCAACUCCGGAUCUGCGGUGGGUACGGGCAGACUAGAGUGAUGUAGGGGAGACUGGAAUUCCUGGUGUAGCGGUGAAAUGCGCAGAUAUCAGGAGGAACACCGAUGGCGAAGGCAGGUCUCUGGGCAUUAACUGACGCUGAGGAGCGAAAGCAUGGGGAGCGAACAGGAUUAGAUACCCUGGUAGUCCAUGCCGUAAACGUUGGGCACUAGGUGUGGGGGACAUUCCACGUUUUCCGCGCCGUAGCUAACGCAUUAAGUGCCCCGCCUGGGGAGUACGGCCGCAAGGCUAAAACUCAAAGGAAUUGACGGGGGCCCGCACAAGCGGCGGAGCAUGCGGAUUAAUUUGAUGCAACGCGAAGAACCUUACCAAGGCUUGACAUGGACCGGACCGGGCUGAAACAGUCCCUCCCCCCUUG